AGUUGACAAACUGUAUCUGUAAAGAGCUCAACUUGUGCGUGCGACUUGCAACGCUCGAUUCCGGAUACUCAAAUUGUCACACAACCCGUUUCUCGAUGUGGUCAAACGGAAGCGUAAUCAAGUUUGUAGUUUUCAAGCCCAUAUACGUAUCGAUUCCUGACAGGCACUGGAGCAGAAUGAAACAAACACACGCAAGACAUCGAUAGCAUAGCAGACUUGCUGUGGCGUUCCCUGCCCAUCAACAUUGUGACCAACGGUGAAGUUUCUGGUAAUUAUUUUUGGCAACCACUUACCUCUCGCUCAUUGUUUCCGAAGGCGAUGCUGAGGUUGGGCAUCGCUCGCAAUAUGGCAACCAGCGAUUGUAUCGUGUUGCUAUAGACUACGGGUCGGUACUGUUUGAAGUCCUCUGAUGUGAAGCCACUUUCGUGAAUAAUUCUGCGAAAAAUCGGGAAACGAACGCAAUUGAUUAGAGUGAUUAUAACAGGCAGUGCUGUCGGUGAGGUGAAAUUUAAUUCUGCACCCCUGGAUGGCGUGUGGGUGGUGAUGUUUAUUAUCUUUUGGAAAUACGCUAUGUUCACUACGUUGGAUACUGCUAAAUAUAGCCGACCGGAAGCGCUAGAACUGGGCCAAAUGCUGUAACAUGUACCGUGACCUCGGCGGAAGCGCUGUAUUUCGCAGCCAACGGAGCAAGUUUACAAAUGGAGUAACAAGUGGGUCGAGCAUAAGGACCUAUUCGAAAAUAUGACUGAUGGAUGAAAAAUUCUACAUAAAAAACGGCUUGUUUGAUUGAAACACAAAAGUUGAGCGUGCUGUAGCAGUGUUGCUGGAAAAAUUCAAUGGUGAGCCGUUCGUCUGACAUUCAAUCAGUUUGGGGUGAAUAACUUUUUCUCCAAGCAUGUUAGGGAACAUCCAAAAAUGACGUAGCUUUUUUAGGUUUUUUGACACCCCCAUCGUAGCAUUUCGUCACAAAGUCAGACUCCCCUCUAAAUAAUUACGUAGCUUAAAAAACCCCGAUGACAUUGUUUCUGCAAAAUUUAUUAUCAAAAACAUACUUUGUAUCAUAAAUGACCGAGAAAACACAAGUAAGUAAUAAAAAUAAUCCUAAACAGGCAAAACAGUCAUAAAAAGUAAAUAAAAAGUAAAAUAUAAACAAAAAUCCCACACCACUGACCUCCCCCCCCCCUCACCCCAUCGUCACAUUUCGUCACAAAACUGCAAUCCCCCACCCUCCUCAAAUGCUACGACAUUUAUGGAUGUUUCCUUAGCGCCUUACGGUCUUCAGUAGGGUUAUUUUUCAGGAAAAUUUCCUACAGAUAUCAUGUAUCGAUGUAUUUUUGGGAACCAAUUGGACAUCUCUUGAGAAUAAAUUUGGAAAAAGUAAAAUUUCCCAUAUAAAAUCGUUUGAAAACUUUAAAAAUCGGGCGCAAAAAUAUAGUUUCACCGAUUGAUCUGAAAAGUUACAUAGUUGUCAUAGGACCAAUGAGGAACAUGAAAAGUGCAUGGGAGCUAACAUUCAUUUUUUGUUCCACCCUAUUAUAUAUGGACUUGAUUAUAUAGGAUUCGAAUAUAUAUAAUUUCAAACACGAUUAUACAUAGUAAAGAAGAAAAAAAUGUUUGACUUAUUUAGAGCUAAUAUGGCGUAAGGGAACAUCCAUAAAAUACGUUACCCUUGAUUGGAAGGGAAAAAAGCAGCCUGACAAAAAAUUUUCAAAAUAUAAAAAAUAGAAAAUAAACGAGAUGUAAAAUCAAUACCCAUUUAUCAAAAUUUUUCUUUACAUUUGACUCCAAUUACAUCAGAAAUAACUAUAAAUAAGUUAACAGAAGAAUCCCCUCAAAUCCAACGAACGCAUCCUUCACUACACCAAGAGACCAUCAGUCAAACAACAUACAAAAGUUUGGGUUCCACCUUUUAAUCGUCAGCAAUACGUUUCCGGCCAACGAAGAUCAAUCCGAUCGUUCCGGCCAACGAUAGACAUCAUCGAUAAACUGCAAACAAGCAGCAACGAGCCAGCCCAUCGACACCGAUUAAUUCACAGAUCGAAGACAACGCAGAGACCCCUGGAUCAGCAGAACUGGAUGAAGGCCACAUACCUGGUUACUAGGGGCAAAAAGUGUAGAUUAAGCAAUUAUUAUUCAGGUUCCAAAGCUAGUCAAAAUAAUUGUAUAAUCAGUCUUGUCUUGGGCUUAGAGUAGUGCAGUCACCUUUUUUAAAACUUCGAACGUAUCACUCUUCUCAAAACUUAUAUAGGGAAACUGUUCCAUAAUUCAGCUCAGCCCAUAUAUUCAUUUUAUACAACAUGGAAACACAAUUGAAAACAGGAAAAAACGCAUAUUUUCUAAAUAAAGCAAUCUGCUAAUCCAUGGAAUGGAUUCUUCUUAGUUCACUUUAGAUUUCUCAUAAAGAAGAAUUCUCAAAAACUCACUUAAAAGCUCUAAAUUUGAUAUUAAAGUCGGUCAUCUGCACUCGAAAACUCUUUUGUUUCAAUCAUCUACCUCAGAAAACAAAAUCCGCGCAUUGCUCUAUACGGCUACAACGGGACUCGUUCAGCAGCCAACCAAAGUUUUUUUUUUCAUCAUUAGCGGACCACUAAGACUACUUCAAUCGUCAAAAUGUUCACCUCAAAUUUCCAAAAUCAAGCAUCAAGUAGCAAAAAUAUAUGAGAUGAGUUUUUACAAAUUUUAGACUUCAACUGUUCCAUCUGUUUUCACUGCGUUGAAGAAAAUCAAAAGUCGCCAAAUCAGUUUCUGUUAAUACGAAAAAAUCAUACUGAAAAAGUUGAAUUAUUCCGACAUAAUUGACAUAAAUCGACAGCACUGCAGUGGUUACCUAAGUUACCAAUGUUGCACGUAAACAACUACAGCAGAUACUUAGGUAACCUACUACGACAGUCUGCGGCUCCGUUCAUUCAUGAUAAUGUGAUUCAUUUAUGAUUAACAGUAAGAUGAUUAUGGGGGCGUCGUGAGAUGAAUAAUUGAGCAAUGAUUUAAGUUUUGAGAUGGAUAUGGAAGCGUUGUGAAAAAUGGUUUGUUUUACAAAAUUCUAAAUUCUAUAAGAGCACGUAAGCGUAUUUUGUAAAAUUGUUCAAUGAUUUCGUGAAAAUUUGGUGUUUAAUCCGUGCAUUCUUCGUGAAUAUCGGCUUAAUGAGACGAAUAAUGAAACACUAUAUUUUUUGUAGAAAAUGUGUUUUCUGACUUUUAGAGGGAUGAGUCGAAAAUGAAACUUUUCUUAUUUAUUCGGAAACAACAAAACAUCUAUGUAGAAAAAAUAUUUUUUUCCGCUGAUUCGAUUAUAAAUUCGAUUACAUAACUAAAGAAAAUAAAUCGGAGACCAUAUAUAAUUGAGUCCGGCCGGUAUAGAAACACUAUCUGAAAAUGAAUUCGAGAGAACUGAUAAUGCGUCGAAAAAAAUGUACAACGUAAAAGAUUUUUUACUACAAACAUUUCUAAAUUAACACUAAAUUUUGUUCUUGAAACAAAAAGUUGCAUAUUUUCAUUUUUUUAAUACAAUAGAACAUCAACAAAACUUUUGGUAAAAAGUUAGGAUGGUUAAGUUUUGUUCUUAGAGGUUAGGUAUAAGUGAUUUUUUUCAAUUCUAGCAUUUUUAGGAUUGCUUGUUUUUAGCUGUUAUUCAAACUCAAAAAAGUGAAAUUGAAAAGUUUUUAAGAUUUUAUUUAAUACAACAAACAAUUUUUUUUUCUCGGUCAUAUUUUCUAGGAGCGUGCUGUAGCAGUGUUGCUGGAAAAAUUCAAUGGUGAGCCGUUCGUCUGACAUUCAAUCAGUUUGGGGUGAAUAACUUUUUCUCCAAGCAUGUUAGGGAACAUCCAAAAAUGACGUAGCUUUUUUAGGUUUUUUGACACCCCCAUCGUAGCAUUUCGUCACAAAGUCAGACUCCCCUCUAAAUAAUUACGUAGCUUAAAAAACCCCGAUGACAUUGUUUCUGCAAAAUUUAUUAUCAAAAACAUACUUUGUAUCAUAAAUGACCGAGAAAACACAAGUAAGUAAUAAAAAUAAUCCUAAACAGGCAAAACAGUCAUAAAAAGUAAAUAAAAAGUAAAAUAUAAACAAAAAUCCCACACCACUGACCUCCCCCCCCCCUCACCCCAUCGUCACAUUUCGUCACAAAACUGCAAUCCCCCACCCUCCUCAAAUGCUACGACAUUUAUGGAUGUUUCCUUAGCGCCUUACGGUCUUCAGUAGGGUUAUUUUUCAGGAAAAUUUCCUACAGAUAUCAUGUAUCGAUGUAUUUUUGGGAACCAAUUGGACAUCUCUUGAGAAUAAAUUUGGAAAAAGUAAAAUUUCCCAUAUAAAAUCGUUUGAAAACUUUAAAAAUCGGGCGCAAAAAUAUAGUUUCACCGAUUGAUCUGAAAAGUUACAUAGUUGUCAUAGGACCAAUGAGGAACAUGAAAAGUGCAUGGGAGCUAACAUUCAUUUUUUGUUCCACCCUAUUAUAUAUGGACUUGAUUAUAUAGGAUUCGAAUAUAUAUAAUUUCAAACACGAUUAUACAUAGUAAAGAAGAAAAAAAUGUUUGACUUAUUUAGAGCUAAUAUGGCGUAAGGGAACAUCCAUAAAAUACGUUACCCUUGAUUGGAAGGGAAAAAAGCAGCCUGACAAAAAAUUUUCAAAAUAUAAAAAAUAGAAAAUAAACGAGAUGUAAAAUCAAUACCCAUUUAUCAAAAUUUUUCUUUACAUUUGACUCCAAUUACAUCAGAAAUAACUAUAAAUAAGUUAACAGAAGAAUCCCCUCAAAUCCAACGAACGCAUCCUUCACUACACCAAGAGACCAUCAGUCAAACAACAUACAAAAGUUUGGGUUCCACCUUUUAAUCGUCAGCAAUACGUUUCCGGCCAACGAAGAUCAAUCCGAUCGUUCCGGCCAACGAUAGACAUCAUCGAUAAACUGCAAACAAGCAGCAACGAGCCAGCCCAUCGACACCGAUUAAUUCACAGAUCGAAGACAACGCAGAGACCCCUGGAUCAGCAGAACUGGAUGAAGGCCACAUACCUGGUUACUAGGGGCAAAAAGUGUAGAUUAAGCAAUUAUUAUUCAGGUUCCAAAGCUAGUCAAAAUAAUUGUAUAAUCAGUCUUGUCUUGGGCUUAGAGUAGUGCAGUCACCUUUUUUAAAACUUCGAACGUAUCACUCUUCUCAAAACUUAUAUAGGGAAACUGUUCCAUAAUUCAGCUCAGCCCAUAUAUUCAUUUUAUACAACAUGGAAACACAAUUGAAAACAGGAAAAAACGCAUAUUUUCUAAAUAAAGCAAUCUGCUAAUCCAUGGAAUGGAUUCUUCUUAGUUCACUUUAGAUUUCUCAUAAAGUAGAAUUCUCAAAAACUCACUUAAAAGCUCUAAAUUUGAUAUUAAAGUCGGUCAUCUGCACUCGAAAACUCUUUUGUUUCAAUCAUCUACCUCAGAAAACAAAAUCCGCGCAUUGCUCUAUACGGCUACAACGGGACUCGUUCAGCAGCCAACCAAAGUUUUUUUUUUCAUCAUUAGCGGACCACUAAGACUACUUCAAUCGUCAAAAUGUUCACCUCAAAUUUCCAAAAUCAAGCAUCAAGUAGCAAAAAUAUAUGAGAUGAGUUUUUACAAAUUUUAGACUUCAACUGUUCCAUCUGUUUUCACUGCGUUGAAGAAAAUCAAAAGUCGCCAAAUCAGUUUCUGUUAAUACGAAAAAAUCAUACUGAAAAAGUUGAAUUAUUCCGACAUAAUUGACAUAAAUCGACAGCACUGCAGUGGUUACCUAAGUUACCAAUGUUGCACGUAAACAACUACAGCAGAUACUUAGGUAACCUACUACGACAGUCUGCGGCUCCGUUCAUUCAUGAUAAUGUGAUUCAUUUAUGAUUAACAGUAAGAUGAUUAUGGGGGCGUCGUGAGAUGAAUAAUUGAGCAAUGAUUUAAGUUUUGAGAUGGAUAUGGAAGCGUUGUGAAAAAUGGUUUGUUUUACAAAAUUCUAAAUUCUAUAAGAGCACGUAAGCGUAUUUUGUAAAAUUGUUCAAUGAUUUCGUGAAAAUUUGGUGUUUAAUCCGUGCAUUCUUCGUGAAUAUCGGCUUAAUGAGACGAAUAAUGAAACACUAUAUUUUUUGUAGAAAAUGUGUUUUCUGACUUUUAGAGGGAUGAGUCGAAAAUGAAACUUUUCUUAUUUAUUCGGAAACAACAAAACAUCUAUGUAGAAAAAAUAUUUUUUUCCGCUGAUUCGAUUAUAAAUUCGAUUACAUAACUAAAGAAAAUAAAUCGGAGACCAUAUAUAAUUGAGUCCGGCCGGUAUAGAAACACUAUCUGAAAAUGAAUUCGAGAGAACUGAUAAUGCGUCGAAAAAAAUGUACAACGUAAAAGAUUUUUUACUACAAACAUUUCUAAAUUAACACUAAAUUUUGUUCUUGAAACAAAAAGUUGCAUAUUUUCAUUUUUUUAAUACAAUAGAACAUCAACAAAACUUUUGGUAAAAAGUUAGGAUGGUUAAGUUUUGUUCUUAGAGGUUAGGUAUAAGUGAUUUUUUUCAAUUCUAGCAUUUUUAGGAUUGCUUGUUUUUAGCUGUUAUUCAAACUCAAAAAAGUGAAAUUGAAAAGUUUUUAAGAUUUUAUUUAAUACAACAUUUUUAAGUAUAAUCCAAAUCCAAUGAUGCAAUAUGAUUGAAAUAGUAAUUUUAAAUCAUGCUGGACGACAAAUUGCAUUUGUUUUUGAGGUUUUUAAAUAGUUUCUAAAACUAGAAUUUCUAUGAAAAUACGCCUUUUUGUAAGUUAAUCGUGGUUCUUGAGCAAAAAGCAUAGAUUUAUAGAAAUGUGCGUAAAAUAUUUAGAGAAUUCUUUAAAAAAAAUAACUUUUAGGUAAACAUUUUUCUUACAUUCAUCCAUCCUAAACUUAUAACCACAACUUUCGUGUCUACUCUCAAGUUGCAAUUAAAAUGGAUUACAAAAGAAAAUUUGGCAACUCUUUUCUUUCAAUAUAAAGUUCAGUGUUUAUUUGCUAAUUUACUAAACUAAUAACUUGUGUUUAACCUAGAGACGUAAGUAAAUUUCU